GGGGAGGACACCCAAAGGAAUGUGAGGGCAAGAGUGGGGAGUCCAAUUAAACAGGCAGAGCAGGUUUCCAGAGCGUUUGGGAUGGCAGUGAAUGAAUGGUCCUGGGAGGUUAUCAGGUGAGGAAUUCCAGCUGCUUUCCAGAGGAUUCGAUGUGAAGAUUAGAUAAAGAAGGAGAAAAGCAGACCCCAACAUCUGUGAACUGACCUCAGAACGAAAGCAGGGCUUUGGUGGUGUUAGUUGCUGGCCUAGCAUUUGCAGAGGAGGACGCUCAAAGAGGAACAGCAAGGACCACAGCCACACAGUCACAAGGCGAGGAUUUGAACCCAGGUCACCGAGACUCUGGGAUCUGGGAAUCUCUGCCUCCCUCCCAGGCUCGCCAGUGGAUCAAGCAUAUCACUGAAGUAGACUCAGACAACAUGAGAAAUGUGCUCAAGGACUUUCAGCUAAGCAGUGGCGGAGUGGUGAUUCACAGUGUCCUCCUGCUCCAAAUCCAGUGCUUUUCCUUUCACAAUGUAUGGCUUCCC
rnacentral:lncRNA from 1 species